UACGAAGGGGGCUAGCGUUGUUCGGAAUUACUGGGCGUAAAGCGCGUGUAGGCGGGCCGUUAAGUUGGGGGUGAAAGCCCAGAGCUCAACUCUGUAAUUGCCUUCGAUACUGGCGGCCUGGAGCAUGAAAGAGGCGAGUGAAAAUGCGAGUGUAGAGGUUAAAUUCGUAGAUAUUCGCAGGAAACCCAGUGACGAGGGUGACCCGCUGGAACAUUGCUGGCUCUGAGACGCGAAAGCGUGGGGCGCUAUCAGG
rnacentral:rRNA from 1 species